rnacentral:rRNA from 1 species
UACGAAGGGGGCUAGCGUUGCUCGGAAUUACUGGGCGUAAAGCGCGUGUAGGCGGGUCUUUAAGUCAGGGGUGAAAUGCCAGGGCUCAACUUUGGAACUGCCUUUGAUACUGGAGACCUUGAGUCCGGGAGAGGUGAGUGGAACUGCGAGUGUAGAGGUGAAAUUCGUAGAUAUUCGCAAGAACACCAGUGGCGAAGGCGGCUCACUGGCCCGAUACUGACGCUGAGGCACGAAAGCGUGGGGAGCAAACAGG